rnacentral:tRNA from 1 species
GUAUAUAUAGUAUAACUCAUUACAAUAGUUUUUCAUACUAUAAAUAGGAUUCUCCUUAUAUAUU